GAACCCUGCAGCUCUCCAUAGACUGAGCACUGAACCAUCCAGCUCUCCAUAGACUGAAUACUGAACCCUGCAGCUCUCCAUAGACUGAACACUGAACCCUGCAGCUCUCCAUAGACUGAACACUGAACCCUGCAGCUUUCCAUAGACUCAACACCGAACCAUCCAGCUCUCCAUAGACUGAAUACUGAACCAUCCAGCUCUCCAUAGACUGAGCACCGAACCAUCCAGCUCUCCAUAGACUGAAUACUGAACCAUCCAGCUCUCCAUAGACUGAACACUGAACCAUCCAGCUCUCCAUAGACUGAGCACCGAACCAUCCAGCUCUCCAUAGACUGAAUACUGAACCCUGCAGCUCUCCAUAGACUGAAUCCUGAACUAUCCAGCUCUCAAUAGACUGAGCACUGAACCCUGCAGCUCUCCACAGACUGAAUACUGAGCCCUGCAGCUCUCCAUAGACUGAAUACUGAACCAUCCAGCUCUCCAUAGACUGAGCACCGAACCAUCCAGCUCUCCAUAGACUGAAUACUGAACCCUGCAGCUCUCCAUAGACUGAAUCCUGAACUAUCCAGCUCUCAAUAGACUGAGCACUGAACCCUGCAGCUCUCCACAGACUGAGCACUGAACCAUCCAGCUCUCCACAGACUGAGCACUGAACCAUCCAGCUCUCCACAGACUGAGCACUGAACCCUGCAGCUCUCCAUAGACUGAGCACUGAACCAUCCAGCUCUCCAUAGACUGAACACAGAACCAUCCAGCUCUCCAUAGACUGAAUACUGAACCCUGCAGCUCUCCAUAGACUGAGCACUGAACCCUG